rnacentral:rRNA from 1 species
CAUUAAAUCAGUUAUCGUUUAUUUGAUAAUACCUUACUACUUGGAUAACCGUGGUAAUUCUAGAGCUAAUACAUGCUGAAAAUCCCGACUUCGGAAGGGAUGUGUUUAUUAGAUAAAAAACCAAUGCCCUUCGGGGCUCUUUGGUGAUUCAUGAUAACUUUACGGAUCGCAUAGCCUUGCGCUGGCGACGGUUCAUUCAAAUUUCUGCCCUAUCAACUUUCGAUGGUAAGGUAUUGGCUUACCAUGGUUUCA